rnacentral:lncRNA from 1 species
CUGAAUGUUUGUACAAUACAAAGUGAAAGCAAAGACAUGGAGCUAAGGAGGAAAAAAAAAUGUCAACAGAGAUCAAGAGCCAAAAGUGACCAUGGAGAAGUGUGGGGUAGUGACUGUGUCACCAGACAGAGAGCUGGUAAGGGAGGAGCAACGUACAGAACCCAAAAAACAAAAACAAAACAAAAAAAAAAAACAAACAACAACAACAAAACCCCUCAUAAUUGAGACCGGCAAGAGUGUGAACUAGCUCCGGACCAGGUUCCUAUACUGGAGCAUGUGACCACGACACCUCAUUAAGACCAUGACAACUGGUCACUCAGCAUAGAACUUAGAGUUCUCCCUGCUACUGAGGUAUCCAGAUAGGCCCCGAGUAUUUAACCAAUGAGCUUCCCUUCCUGGGCAUCCCUUCCUGCAAAAAGUAUUUAAUCUCUGGUUUACCCAUGUACCCUCAUCUGCCGUGAAUAAAGCAGUUGGGAUAAGCAAGGAUUGCCUCCUUCAUUAAGAAUCGCUGGGGGGUGGGGUGGGAGGAGACCAAGGCCUGAGUCAUACAGAGCUGCCCUUAAGUGUUCUGUAAACUCAAUUGAACUAAGCUGGAUUCCUCCCACAGGAACACCGACGCCAGGCUCACCCCAGGCCUGCUGGCCCCUGUUCCCAACUCCUUAGACCUGCUCUCAGACCUCAUCAGAGAAGUUUCUUCAGGCAGUAGAAACAACUUGUCAAUGUGCAAAGAAUAAUCUUCUGUGGAGUGCUCAGCCACAAUCAACACAUAUGUAUCAUAGUCCAUCCUCUCAAAGCUCAGGGAUUAUGGUGAAAAGUGACCAGGAAGACUGUAGGAGGCAGACAUCAUGGAGAAGCGGAGCAACAUAGUGUCUUCUGGACAUUACAAGACCUGGGCAUUAAUGAGCUCACAGUAGUUAUGGAUGCCCGCACAAGACCUGCAUGAGAUUGAGCGAGUCAACAGGAUGGAGGAGAGGUUCUUGAGUCUUCACCCCUAGCUGAGGGAUGAUUAACAGUUGGUAUCCUUGAGAGGAGGAGAAUCCUUUAUCUUUAGAGAUGUGGUCUCUGGUAAGCUGACCGUGUUCCAGUGGAUAACCCCAUACUUAUGAAUAUUAAGACAACAGAGAUUGGAAUCAGUGAGCUGUAGAAGGAAGGAAGGAAGGAAGGAAGGAAGGAAGGAAGGAAGGAAGGAAGGAAGGAAGGAAGGAAGGACAAAAAGAAAACAUGAAAUUGGAAGGACUGUUGGGGGUUGAGGAGCUAAGAGGAGUUAGGGAGAGGAGUGGAGAGUGCAUAUAAUCAGAAUACACUGUGUAAAUGCAUACAACUCUCAAAAUCCAAUAAAUGUAUUGUUUCUUAAUAUUUACUUAUGUUUAUGUGUGCUUAUAUAUUUCUUAAUGGUCAUUUAUACAUGACUGUGUGUGACUGUGAGGUACCCUUGGGGAGGUACACAUGGAAGCCAGAAAAAAAAGCAUUGGAUCCUGUGAGCCAUCCAGAGAGCCACCUAGCAUAGAUGACUGGUCAAACUGAAAAUUUGUGCUUCUCUCUGUCUCUCUCUCUCUCUCUCUCUCUCUCUCUCACACUCUCUCUCUCGUGUGUGUGUGUGUGUGUGUGUGUGUGUGUGUGUGUGUGUGUGUGUGGUGUGUGUUUAGGCCAGACUACAUGGGUGGUGUUCCUUCUCAGGCCUUGUUUGAGACCCUGACUUGCUCAUGGGUCUGUCAAGGACUAGCAUUACAGGAGCCCAGCCAAAUAGCUCCAUCUUCGUCUAAGAAGGGAUCAGGGCUCCCCUCCUGCUGCUGAGAUAUGCAGAUGUCAUCUCACAUGUCAGCAAUAUGUACAGCUGAGAACACAGGGCUGGAGGAGCAGCUGGGGGCACGAAAUCAGCAUUUUCUUUCUUCCCCUUUUCUGCUAACAUGAGGACAUAGGAUUUGUGAAGUCAUCUAGUGUGACACAUUUUGUAACUUUUUCAUUAUCAUAGUUUGCUUUCUAUUUCUGUGAUUAAACCCCAUGACUAAAAACAACUUGGGGAGAAAAGAAUUUAUUCCAUCUUACAGGUUAGAGUACACCCUGAAAGAAAGUCAGCUGGAACCCAAGGCAGGAACCUGUGGGUAAGAACUGAUGCAGAGGCCAUGGAUAGGUGCUGCUUACUGGCUUGCUCCUCAAGGUUUGCUUGGCCUGCUUUCUCAUAUACCCAGGACGAACUGUCCAGGGGCAGCACUGCCUCUAGUGUGCUGUACCCUCCCACAUCAAUCUUGAAUGAAGAAAAUGCCCCCCCCCGACUUAUCUACAAGCCAAUCUGAUGGGGGAAAGACCUCAGUUGAGGAUUCCUCUUCUCUCAGAUGAUUCUAGCUUGUGCCAGGUUGACAAAACAAUGAAGCAAGCAAUCCCAGUGCAUCUGUUUACCUGUGUCUCAUUAUUUCUGUUCAAAUCUCAUCCCAGUGACUUACCUGAUGUAGUAGCUUUAAAAGAAGGGAAGGUUUACUUUCCACAUGGUUUCUCUUCAUCGUAGUGUAUGAUCUGGUGGAGCAGAGAUGUUCAACUAAAGACUACCAGAAGACAGACAGACGGAGACAGUCAGAGAUAGAGAGACAGAGACUGAAAGAGACAGGAACAGGCACCCAGAGAGCAGAGAGACUGAAGGCAAGAGAGACUGAGAGAGUCAGAGAGACAUAGACACAGAGAGAGAGAGAAUCAGAGAGAGACACAGAUAGAGACAGAGUGUCCUCAGGCUCACCUAGAAAUCCCUCAUUAACAGCCAAUUAAGCUGGGCAGUGGUGGCACACGCCUUUAAUCCCAGCACUUGGGAGGCAGAGGCAGGAGUAUUCCUGAGUUCAAGGCCAGCCUGGUCUACAUAGUGAGUUCCAGGACAGCCAGGGCUAUACAGAGAAACCCUGUCUCAAACAAACAAACAAACAAACAAACAAAAUAAAAAACAAAACAAAAACAAACAAAAAACAAAACAAAAACAAACAAAAAAACAAAACAGAAACAAAAUAGCCAAUUAAAUAACAAAGUAUGAACGCAUACUUUGUCAUUGUCUGAUAACAUCCAGAGUGUGAGCAGGAGGCUUCCAUCCUCCAGGCCGACAGUAACCCAUGAACAGCACCUUUGGUUAGAGUUCACCCAACCUGUUCUGAACACACCUAAUCAGGACCACGGUACUUGGUAAAUGCACUCCUUGCAAACUCAAUCUCUACUUGAAAACUCAUAUCCUGGUCAUUGACUCUUCAGAACUAUUCAACACGAGGCUCUUCACCUGGGUCUUCUGUGCUCUAUCAUUCUCUGAGAACCUCAUGCCUUGACCAGAACUUUCUAUUUUGUAGUACAACAGCUCCUGUGCUGAUGUCACCACCAGGUAGCAUCGCUCCCACAGUCACCUUGCUUUUCCAGAAGUAUAACAGCUGGAACUCAUAUUAUGUUCCCAUCUGUGGUCUUUGUCUGUGGUAGGCAGCAACACACAGCACAAGUUAGUGUUUCCCCAUCCCACUUCUGUUUGAAAUUGGUUCCACCGUGUCUUUGUGUGCUUCUCUGUUGCUAUGAUAAGCACCAUGGCCAAAGCAGCUUAGUGAGGAAAGGACUUAUUUCAGAUGACAACUCACAAGUCAGACUCCAUCACUGAGGGAAGUCAGGGUAGAAACCCAAAGCAGAAUCUUCAGCAGACACCAUGGAAGAACACUGCUGACUGGCUUGCUCUUCAUGGCUUGCUCAGCCUGCUUUCUUGUGGCCUGCCCAGGGGUCACAGCAUCCACAUUGAGCUGGGCCAUCCUAAAUCAAUCACUAAUCAAGAAAAUGCUCAAUAGAUAUGCCCACAGGCCGGUCUGAUGAAGGCAACUCCUCAUUGGGGUUUUCUCUUCGCAAGUGACUCUGGUUUGUAUCAAGCUGACAAAAACUAACCAUCACAGGCCCCAUGUGAACUAACUAGAACUAUCAUUUAACACUGUGGGUUUGGAGCUUCUUGGGAGCUACAGAACUCAUUAUUCAGAUUUAUUCAGUGCUAGCAAAUAAUGCUGGGUGAGAGGCUCUGGUGUUUGGUUGAUGACUGCGGAACUCCGGAAUUCCUUUUCUUCUGUUCCCAUUGCCUUCCGUUUGUAGACAUCUCUAUGUUGAAGGGCCUUGCAGCUUGCAGACGUCUGAGUGAUUACUCCUCCAAAUUAAGGUCAGCAGCAAGACCUGCCUUGCAAUAAGCUAGCACUCCAGAAACCAGUGUGUCCUCACCAUCUUGUGGUAGAGCCUAGAGAAAGACAUCGGGCUCAGAGUCUCCCUUCACCAGCUGAAGCUCACUAGGAAGUUUACUUCAAUUGAAUGUCCAAAUUUUUCCAAUUUAAUCAUUGCAGUGGGUCCUCCCUCAGUUAAGAACUUUUAGUUAAAGAGGUUCAAUGAGACUGAGAAGAGGGGGGCUUACAAGAUGGCACGGCUGACCCAGGAAGGUGGUGGAGGAAUACUCGUGACUAUUUUCAUCUAAAACCAUAUCUUGUUUCCAGGGGAACCCAGAGUGACUCAACCCAGCUCUCUGUUGAUUCAAAGCAUACCCUGUGGUCAGCAGCAGCCACUGGCCUUUCAUGCAAGUGGUACACAAACUGUCCUAAGACAUGGUAGCUUAAUGUCCUAAAAUGGGACAUUGGGUUUAUCCCACAGAUGGACCUGCUCCAAAUCAGAGUUUAUGUCCAAUGACACAUAGCACACAGCUCUCCAGUAGAAAAGGACGGACGGAGGCACUCGACUGGGUGUGUAAAUCUAGGGUUAAUUGGGAGCUGAACGCUACAGUCCAAAGAUAAAGGUUACCAGGUGUUGCUUGCACAGUCC